AUUGAACGCUGGCGGCAUGCCUUACACAUGCAAGUCGAACGGUAACGGGCCUUCGGGUGCCGACGAGUGGCGCACGGGUGAGUAAUACAUCGGAACGUGCCCGAUCGUGGGGGGUAACGAGGCGAAAGCUUUGCUAAUACCGCAUACGAUCUACGGAUGAAAGCAGGGGACCGCAAGGCCUUGCGCGGACGGAGCGGCCGAUGGCAGAUUAUGUAGUUGGUGGGAUAAAAGCUUACCAAGCCGACGAUCUGUAGCUGGUCUGAGAGGAUGAUCAGCCACACUGGGACUGAGACACGGCCCAGACUCCUACGGGAGGCAGCAGUGGGGAAUUUUGGACAAUGGGCGAAAGCCUGAUCCAGCCAUGCCGCGUGCAGGAUGAAGGCCUUCGGGUUGUAAACUGCUUUUGUACGGAACGAAAAGCCUUCUUUUAAUACAGGAGGGUCAUGACGGUACCGUAAGAAUAAGCACCGGCUAACUACGUG
rnacentral:rRNA from 1 species